GGAAGGAGCUCGAGCUCCGGAACUCCAAAGAAUGGAGGGAAGCAGAACAGCACCAAUACAAACUCAAAGAUAGUGAGAACAAGUUGGCUGAACGUGCCAAGGAAAUAGCUCAGAGAAAGGGCUAUUCCGAGGAACGAUGCGAAGCGGUGGAAUAUGCCGCCAGAGUCAUCGCAUCAGAUGUUCUUGAUUCCCCAGAAGAAAAUCAACUGCGCUCACUACAAAAAAAGAUAGAAAAUAUAGAAAGGGCAAACAAUAAUACAUGGCGACGAAUCAUAGAAGAAUGUCGCCGGUGGGACUUAUCCUGGAGUGAAGAGGAGGAAGAGGAUCAAAUCUUAUAAAUGCAAAGAAUUGGUCAAGUAGUCAAAUUUGUACGAGAGGCGCUCGGCCCCCACUACACGGGGCUCAUCAUUAUCUUUGUAUUAU
rnacentral:misc_RNA from 1 species